GUCAGAGUUCUCUUCCAUGGAUACUUCACAUGGAAGCUAUACUUCUGAGAAAAUUGUCAAGAUGAAGGAGGGUGGCAAAAAUGGAGAAGUCAAAGUCAUUGCAACCCCAGUGAGGCGAUCAAGCAGAAUUCGCAGCAAAACAGUAAUGUCCCCAUGAAUCUUCUGGCCUUGCAUCGAAUGCAUCUAAUAUUCUAACUUGCCCCAAGCAAGCAGCAGCUAAUUUGUUCUCUUUAGUUCAGUAUUCUUCCACUGAAGAGUGUCUGGAGAAUUGGCUCUCUGAUGUGUGUCAAUGGUAGAGAAACUGAUCUGUUUCAGUAUGUAGGAGGCAUUGGAUGGAUUCCAUUUUAUAUCAUUCUAUGUCUUUAUUUG